rnacentral:lncRNA from 1 species
UCCUUCUUUGCACUGUCUGACUACUCUAGCAUAGCUUCAAUAGAAACAAUUUUGGUGGUAUUUUCCAUGCCUCAACUGUGAUAUCAUCGAUUUAGUCAUUGCCAUUUUCAGCGAGACAUACAACCUCGCUAGAUUUAUCCCUUGGUUCAGAAACUUUAGCACAUUCACUUUCGAUUAAUGCUGAUGCAUUCUCGUCCCAAUUGAUUUCAUAACAACUAGUGUUAGUAGUUUUGCUUCAACAGUUCAAAAUUUAAAAAUAGAAAGCCAAUUAAAUAAAUAGCUGAAAAUCAGAACUCGACUGAAUGAACACACACUUGACUUUAACCUAUCAAGGCAGGCCAAGAAAACCUGCCUAGUAUCAAUCCGAUAACAAAUGUAUAAACCCAGAACAUGUGGGAGAGAAUCAAUAGUUGUAUGAGGAUCAUAAAAUAGUCUCAUGUGUUUAAAUAAAUGUACGUUGAUUGAAAUUCACUAAGGUGUAGAUCUAGAAUGGGUCGUGACAUUAUAAGCACUGGAUAGAUUGAGACCUAUCAAUUUCGGUACCGUAUCUAAAACAGCAAAACCAUAAACUCGUGAAUUCAGAUAUGAUUUUACGAUCGCGGUUUUCGUGGUGUCUGUAGUUUGGAUGGAGUAAAGUUUCACUAGAAUAUCAGAUUCGACCCGUUAAGGACAUUCGUCGAACAUCUGAUCCUCAUUGUAUUCUGAAUCGAUGUUACAACUAUUUACAAUUUACAAACUUUAGCAGUUCAACCAUAAUAUGCUCAUCUGAAAUCACCUGAGCUUGGUUGUUCCCUUCAUUCAUUUCCCUCGAACAGACAUCAAGACAAAAGCAGUUGGCAGUCAACGCUGCGUGCACAUUCAUAGAUGCAAGAGUUGCAUUGGCAAUCAACACUGCAUAUACAAUCUUCAUGCCACCUCUGCAAUUGCUUAACACUCAUAAGUAUUCCCGACAUUCUAUUCGUAAGGGCCCGUUUGUUUGCAUUGUUUCGUUGAAUCAAUUCAGCCAAAGUUGAUUCAGCAAAUAUCUUUUUUGAAUUAUUAUCCAAAGUCGAGAUAGGUUCGUUCCUCUGAUACCAAUUGUCAAGACCUAACCUCAAAUUGAUUAACAAAGAAGUUGACAUAAAUGAAACAAUGCAUUUUUUGGGCAAUUUUCUGAUUUCAAUUCAAAAAUGGUAUAAUGGAUAUUGAGUACAAAAAACUGGAAUGCUGAAUUAAACUAAGAUAACUACGAUACGUGGGACUCCAUUGUUAUCCUUGAAUCUGCAAAAAGAAGGAGUUGAGAAUUAGAUUUUCAGAGAGAGAAAAGAAAGAGACGAGAGAGAAGAAACACGAGAAAGAAGCCUAAAAAUACCAUAAGUUUGUUAUGCUAUAGUUCUGAUCUAUUAGGAGUUAUAAACGGUGAGCUAUCAAGUUUAAUCUCAACCGUUCAAGCUCAUUAAUUGCCAAAUGAAUCUACACCCUCCUCGCAUUAUAAUUUCAUUAGCUCUUUUCCUUUAUUUUUCACUUACAACCCGUUUGCUAGGCUGCACUAACUAGAAUAGUCCUUGAAUUAAAACUUAAUCGGAUUCAAU